AGUGAACGCUGGCGGUAGGCCUAACACAUGCAAGUCGAACGGCAGCACAGUAAGAGCUUGCUCUUACGGGUGGCGAGUGGCGGACGGGUGAGGAAUACAUCGGAAUCUACUUUUUCGUGGGGGAUAACGUAGGGAAACUUACGCUAAUACCGCAUACGACCUACGGGUGAAAGCAGGGGAUCUUCGGACCUUGCGCGAUUGAAUGAGCCGAUGUCGGAUUAGCUAGUUGGCGGGGUAAGGGCCCACCAAGGCGACGAUCCGUAGCUGAUCUGAGAGGAUGAUCGGCCACACUGGAACUGAGACACGGUCCAGACUCCUACGGGAGGCAGCAGUGGGGAAUAUUGGACAAAGGGCGCAAGCCUGAUCCAGCCAUACCGCGUGGGUGAAGAAGGCCUUCGGGUUGUAAAGCCCUUUUGUUGGGGAAGAAAAGCAGCAGGUUAAUACCCCGCUGUUCUGACGGUACCCAAAGAAUAAGCACCGGCUAACUUCGUG
rnacentral:rRNA from 1 species